CCGCUCCUAGCUCAGCUGGAUAGAGCAUCAGGCUUCGAACCUGAGGGUCGGGGGUUCGAAUCCCUCGGAGCGGGCCA
rnacentral:tRNA from 1 species